rnacentral:misc_RNA from 1 species
AGAGAUUGGCGAAAGCCUAACACUACCCACACACACCUGUGAACCGUUUAUCUGGGACGCGGAUUAGCUUCGGCGAAACCGUCCCUCUUUACAAAACAUCUCGUACAGUGUCACGAACGUAGUCUUAUUUUAACAAAAUA